UACGUAUGGUGCAAGCGUUAUCCGGAUUUACUGGGCGUAAAGGGAGCGCAGGCGGCGCGCCAAGUCUGAUGUGAAACCCCGGGGCUCAACCCCGGGCAUGCAUUGGAAACCGGCGGGCUGGAGUGCCGGAGAGGUAAGCGGAAUUCCUAGUGUAGCGGUGAAAUGCGUAGAUAUUAGGAGGAACACCAGUGGCGAAGGCGGCUUACUGGACGGCAACUGACGCUGAGGCUCGAAAGCGUGGGGAGCAAACAGG
rnacentral:rRNA from 1 species